rnacentral:misc_RNA from 1 species
GAUGAAGAACGCAGUGAAAUGCGAUACUUGGUGUGAAUUGCAGAAUCCCGUGAACCAUCGAGUCUUUGAACGCAAGUUGCGCCCGAAGCCACUAGGCCGAGGGCACGCCUGCCUGGGCGUCACACGCCGUUGCCCCCCCAUCUACUCCUUCGGGAUUGCGGGGGGGCGGAUGAUGGCCUCCCGUGCGCCUAGCCGCGCGGUUGGCAUAAAAACCAAGUCCUCGGCGACGCACGCCACGACAAUCGGUGGUUGCGAAACCUCGGUUGCCCGUCGUGUGCGUUCGUCGCGCAUCGAGGGCUCGAAAAAAUGCUCGGCUCCGGCUGGGCUUUCAACGCGACCCCAGGUCAGGCGGGGUUACCCGCUGAAUUUAAGCAUAUCAAUAAGCGGAGGA